rnacentral:rRNA from 1 species
UACGGGGGGAGCAAGCGUUGUUCGGAUUUACUGGGCGUAAAGGGCGCGUAGGCGGCGCAACAAGUCACUUGUGAAAUCUCCGGGCUUAACCCGGAGCGGUCAAGUGAUACUGUCGUGCUAGAGUGCGGAAGGGGCUACUGGAAUUCUCGGUGUAGCGGUGAAAUGCGUAGAUAUCUGGAGGAACACCGGUGGCGAAGGCGGCAUCCUGGACCGAGAUUGACGCUGAGGCGGCGAAAGCUAGGGGAGCAAACGGG